rnacentral:lncRNA from 1 species
AGCAUGUCCACUUUUUCCCAUCAGUCUAGCAGAGGACCAUACUUCUCCACAGAAACCUUCUCUCACUUAUGGGAGAUCAUCACAGCAACAUGAUUACUGCUUGUGGUAGCACCACAACAAUUCAAGAUCUUCUUCUGGUCUGAAACCACAGACAAGAUGGAGACACACAAGCUCUUUUUCAGAGUGAUUGCUGUUAAAGAGGUUUCUGCUCUGCUUCUCACCACAGUCCCCAUCUUACCUAACCAGAUCACUCUGUGGCAAAGCUUUUCCUUCAGCUCUGUUGAUAAAUAUUACAGCACCACAUGGUAGAGGACAUAAUUUUUAAAUGUCCAGACUCAUAUCGUACUUAUCUGUGAAAUGACAAUGCUGUUGAGAUCUGGUCCUGUCAGCAAAGUCAGUGCCUGUACCUCCAAAAGGUAAGACAGUCUGGGGAAGAGAACAAAGCCUGAUAAAUCUGAAUUUGACAAACACUGACUCUUGGAACGUCGUGAAGAUGUUUAGAUAGGCUUUGCAGGCUCUAAGAAGUAAGCUCAUGGCUGUGGUGUCUAGCACUUGUCAUACAUUAUUAUUGUAUAAAGUAUUGGAUUGGGGAAUAACUAUAUGUUUCCUUUGAGAUACUAUGAAUUAUACUGGUCAGGCUGAAGGUCAGCAUGCUGUUCUUUUGAUCAAUGAAUCAUCUGACCAGGUGAAGAUAUCCUAUUUCUUGUACUAUAAAUGUGUACAGACUUUCCCUCACAUGGACUUGCAGAAGGUAAGCUCAGAUUGGCCCUGGAUAAAGGAAGAAGAAAAACAAAGAUCUUCAGCUUCCCUCAGCACCGAAGUACAAGUGUUACUGGGAAGAUCCAUCAGCAGUCAGCAUCACCUCUGUGCAGCCCUUUCAGGGCUGUAUCCAUUACAAGAAAAACCCCAGGGGUCAGAUCCAGCCUCCUCUAUGCUCCCCAGCCCUGGAGCUGAACCCUGUAGCUAUGGUAAAGACAGCUGA